rnacentral:rRNA from 1 species
AUUGAACGCUGGCGGCAGGCCUAACACAUGCAAGUCGAACGAGUGGCGGACGGGUGAGUAAUGUCUGGGAAACUGCCUGAUGGAGGGGGAUAACUACUGGAAACGGUAGCUAAUACCGCAUACCAUCGGAUGUGCCCAGAGUGGAUUCGCUAGUAGGGGGGGUAACGGCUCACCUAGGCGACGAUCCCUGGCUGGCCUGAGAGGAUGACCAGCCACUCUGGAACUGAGACACGGUCCAUACUCCGACGGGAGGCAGCAGUGGGGAAUAUUGCACAAUGUGCGCAAGCCUGAUCCAGCCAUACCGCGUGGGUGAAGAAGGCCUUCGGGUUGUAAAGCCCUUUUGUUGGGAAAGCGGUACCCAAAGAAUAAGCACCGGCUAACUUCGUGCCAGCAGCCGCGGUAAUAC